CAAUCCAUUGUACUUGUAAAUGAUUCAGCAAUCAUAGAAGUACGCAGGGAAAGUCACCCCUUGGCUUUCGAGUGUGACACACUGGAUAAUAACGAAAUAGUAGCAACUAUUAAAUUCACAGUCUAUACGAGCAGUGUGAAUUGCAAAGCCCUGUCCGUGAUGUCUCCUACAUGUUGCCUUGAAACUGUCCAUCUCCUUUCAUUACUCCUGUGACUGCCCUAGUUCAGGCUACCCCGUCUCUUUAUGUAGAUGCUUUUUAAAACAAUCUCAUGACUUGCUUCUCCAACUAUGAGAGAGCUUUUAAAUGCAAUUUUUACAAUUUUACACGGGCAGCAGUCAAGGCUUUCUGGGGGGCAAAAUCCUCUACACCUGAGGUACAAUCUGAGCAGAGUUCUGUGAGAUACAAAGAUUCAACUUCUCUUGACCAAUUACCAACAGAAAUGCCUGGUGAAGAUGAUGCUUUAAGUGAAUGGAAUGAAUGAUGUUGGAAUGAUAUAUAACAAACCAAAGGAUAUUACAGAAUAUUAGAUUCAUUAUUACAAAAUAAAAUAUACAUUGAAAUACUUUAAUAAUGUUGCAAUGGAUUGCCACAGUGUGAAGGAAAUGCAGGGUGGGGAUAGGACUGUUUUAUCAGUGCAUUUUUUCAGUACAGUUAUCAAAUAUUACUUUUAAUUUGUUCUCAACACUUAUUUCAGGUAAUAGCUUGGGGAUAUUUAUCUAAAGGUACCCCCAACAAAUCUUCUAAGUGCAUUUUUGAUCACUUUGAUAACUUCUUAGGUGAUUUGCCUGUUUUGUCUUAAAUAAGAACAAUGUAAUAUAGAAAUGCUUUACAUAUUAGACUUUCUCUCCCCUGGAAGCACUGGGUUGAACUUGCUAAAGCAAAUCAUACUUUAGAAUCUCUGCAGGGAAUGUGACAUACAAAGUUUGUAAGACAUGAAGUAAUAACGAUAAUGAUAACAAUAAAUACGUAGUGA
rnacentral:sRNA from 1 species